rnacentral:lncRNA from 10 species
GGGGCGAGCGCUCCAGGCCUCCUCCCGACCCUGCGCCGUGCCCAGCCCCUCUGCCCUCCUGUUACCCCGGGACCUCGGGCCGCCAGCCCCUUCCACGUGCAGGCUCCUGCUGCUCUCGCGGGGGCUUUUCGUGUGUCCCCCGAGAUGUCGAGGAAGCCAGAGUCCAGCUCUCCCACGGGUGGCUGUGAUCCUUCUUCCUGGGGAGUCCUGCUGUCCCUGACUAGGGGCACCUGCCCACCUGUCAGCUGCUCCUCCCUCGGCUGGUCCUCCUGGGCUCUGAUGGCCCCAACAUUUCUAGCUCUUCUCACCCAUAGUGCCCCAAGCUUCAUGCAGCUGCGGCAGGAUGCUGUAACAAGCUGUCAUCUCGGGAGGAGACACCAGGCCCUGACCAGACGCUGAACAUGCCAGCACCUUCAUCUUGGACUUUCCAGCCCCCAGAACUGUGAGAAAUAAAUUUCUGUUCUUUAUAAGUACC